rnacentral:tRNA from 1 species
GCGCGAUUAGCUCAGUGGCAGAGCAUUGCAUUCACAUUGCAAGGGUCGCAGGUUCAAUCCCUGCAUCGCGCA